CCUCUUCUCCCGUUCUUCCCCAAUUCCCCACAGCAAAAUCAAAUCACAGAGUUUCCCCUGGCCCUCGUCCCCCAAAACCCCGAGAAAUUCACCCUCCAGGAAGCCAAAAUCGCCCCCCAAAUCCACACGAACAUUUCCCCUGCCGCGGCCGCCGGGGGGAAGGGGGGAAAGAUCCCGUCCCAAUGGCUCUCCUCCCCCAAAUCCUCCACUCCCCUCACCCCCACCCCCGCCUCGCCGCCGCUGCCUCCCCCUCCCGCGCAUUCCCUCGAGCGCCCCGCCUCCAUGCCUCCGGCCCCCGCGGCCGCCUCGCUGCGUCGGCGGGCGCGUCCGGGCCCGGGCCCGGGCCGUCGUCGCCGGAGCCGUACCCCCCCGAGUCCGACGACGGGCUGGUGGAGCUCCCGCUGUUCCCGCUCCCGCUCGUGCUCUUCCCGGACGCCACACACGCGCUGCACAUCUUCGAGUUCCGCUACCGCAUCAUGAUGCACACGGUGCUGCAGACCGACCUCCGCUUCGGCAUCGUCUUCGCCGGCUCCGGCGGCUCGGCCGCCGAGGUCGGCUGCGUCGGCGAGGUCGUCAAGCACGAGCGCCUCGCCGACGACCGGUUCUUCCUCAUCUGCAAGGGCCAGCAGCGGUUCCGCGUCGCCCGCGUCGUGCGCACCAAGCCCUACCUCGUCGCCGCCGUGCAGUGGCUCGAGGACUGCCCGCCCGCCGAGCCCCCGGCCCCCGGGGAGGACGCCCUGGCGCUCGCCGCCGACGUCGAGGCCCUCAUGCGGGACGUCAUACGCAUCGCCAACCGCCUCAACGGGAAGCCCGAGAAGGAGGUGGGCGACCUGCGCAGGGGCCUCUUCCCCACGCCCUUCUCCUUCUACGUCGGCAACACCUUCGAGGGUGCGCCCCGGGAGCAGCAGGCGCUGCUCGAGCUCGAGGACACCGCCGCCAGGCUGCGCAGGGAGCGGGACACGCUGCGCAAUACGCUCAACUAUCUCACCGCCGCCUCCGCCGUCAAGGACGCCUUCCCAUCCUCGCCGUCGUCGGGGUGAGGUGAGGCCAUCACUCGUCAGCCAGGAAUGGAUGAUGAUAAGGAGUCUGUGGUGGAGGGGCAAGACUCAGUGGAAGAUGUAGCCAAUAUGAAAACACUGCAAGGAUCUGAAAAUUUGCUUUCCGUCUUAGUCGUGAAAAAGUUUUGCAACAGUAUGUUAUGAAGGACUCUCAUGUCUGAUUUUCCGAAGCCUUGCCAAAUAUUGAAGUCAUGUUGAGCUCCAAUGGAGAAGCUGUACACAUGAAAUUUGUUAUGUUAUGACUUGCAUCAAUCUGUAAUUCUGUAUGAUCAAUCCACCCAUCUGUUAGGUAUACCGUACAUAUGUACUGUGAUGAGUGGUUGAGAGAAUAUGAGAGGAUGGCAUCAGGGGAGCUGAAAAGGCCCAUCUUUGUUUAAGAAGAUGUUCUCUGCAGAAAACAGUUCAACAUUUUGCAUUCUUUUCUUCA